rnacentral:misc_RNA from 1 species
UAAGAGGAUGGUAGAUGG